rnacentral:lncRNA from 1 species
CUCUGUAGAGCAAUGAGCCUAUGCCUAUCAAAAUGUAUAAACUACUGUAAGUUGCUUUGGACAAAAGAGUCUGCUAAAUGGCAUAUAAAGAUGUAUUAUUACAUUGGUACAAGACAACCAGUGAACUACAGUUUUUGAAUAAUGGAAAAUGGCUCGGAUCAGGCGGUGAGUGUGGGUGUUGGAUCAAUACAGGGGGGCCAUUGGAAGAGGAAUGCUUGGCUUGACGGGAGGGUUCAGCAUUCGAGUGGAUGGAACAGGGAGGGAACUCGUGGGCACAUGGUCUAGUAAGAGCAACGUGGGGUGAACGCACUCCCAGACUGUGCAUAGUGUCUGUCAGGGAGAGAGGGCCAGAGCAAGCCCGCUUCUGUGAAGGUAUCACAGACCUGUGUUUCGUAGCAAGGGCUAAGUGGUCCGGAGGUGUCAAAAGGCCAGGGAUCGUGACUUUUAAGGUGACCCGGAGCUCUCUGACAAUGAGGGACCCCCAUUCGCUAUGGUAACGAGUUCUGGUGGAUGAACCUUCUGGAUGGAUUGGGGUGAGGUCUGGGGUUGAGGGCAGCUUUUUUGGGGGGGGUUAGUGGUCUCCUGGAGGGGUCUUUCUAAGGACAGGGGGCACGCGCCAGCUGCCACCGGCGGGGAGACGCCUUUUUGCACACCAGCUGGAAGCAGGAUUUAACCCCCCCCCAUCUGCCCAUCUGACCCCUCCUUCAUGGUUUGAGGGGUGAGUGGAUUAGCUUCACUGCUGUUUGUUUACGGCACACUUCUAUUGUUAUGGCCGUUUACAUAUGUAUAUGUUUCAGGCCCGACCGAGGGACAGAGAACUGCCCAUAGUAGUCCUCCUCCAACUCAGCUGCCAGCCCGUCAUUGGCUUUUAAGUCAUGCUUGGCUUCAAAAGAGAGAGAGUAUCACCGCUGCCAAUACAAUCUCCAUGCUCGGUGUUACUGUGGAUUGUGGUUUGGGUAACCCUUUAAUAAGAUUCUGGGUUGUGUUCAUUGGAGCACACUGUUUUAAAAUGUUUCACGACGGAAAAUGAAAAUUACUGUUUCUUAUUGAAUUAGAUAGAUAAUACCUUCAUGUUUCACUCUGUUUUGGAGUGUGUUCCUACUGAACACGACCCAGGUAUGAGUCAUUUGACCCAGGUAUGAGUCAUUUCAUCCGAUCAGUGGCCACAUCUGGUGAGAUGAGGUCACAGUGGCCAGGUUCAUGUUCAUUAGGCACCAAGUGGAAAUAACUAAAACAGAGAGGGACUACCUGGACUAAACACAUUUUGUUUCAAAAUGUUUAAAACGUUUUAUAUUGUGUGUUUUAAUGAACAUGACCCAUGUGUGGGCGCUUUUGGGACAGAUUGGGAUUCAUUGAAUCGAAGGGAACGAUCUCCUGAGAAAGACAAGGGCAUUGUAAGUGUGUGUGUGUGUGUGUGUGUGUGUGUGUGUGUGUGUGUGUGUGUGUGUGUGUGUGUGUGUGUGUGUGUGUGUGUGUGUGUGUGUGUGUGUGUGUGUGUGUGUGUGUGUGUGUGUGUGUGACAUGGGGCUCCAUGGAUAGACUGGGU